rnacentral:rRNA from 1 species
AGUAAUACAUCGGAACGUGCCCAGUCGUGGGGGAUAGCCCGGCGAAAGCCGGAUUAAUACCGCAUACGACCUGAGGGUGAAAGCGGGGGACCUGCAAGGGCCUCGCGCGAUUGGAGCGGCCGAUGUCAGAUCAGGUUGUUGGUGGGGUAAAAGCCUACCAAGCCGACGAUCUGUAGCUGGUCUGAGAGGACGACCAGCCACACUGGGACUGAGACACGGCCCAG